rnacentral:rRNA from 1 species
CCUACGGGCGGCACCAGAAGGGAAUCUUCGGCAAUGGACGAAAGUCUGACCGAGCAACGCCGCGUGAGUGAAGAAGGUUUUCGGAUCGUAAAACUCCGUUGUUAGAGAAGAACAAGUAGGAGAGUAACUGCUCUUACCUUGACGGUAUCUAACCAGAAAGCCACGGCUAACUACGUGCCAGCAGCCGCGGUAAUACGUAGGUGGCAAGCGUUGUCCGGAUUUGUUGGGCGUAAAGCGAGCGCAGGCGGUCUUUUAAGUCUGAUGUGAAAGCCCUCGGCUCAACCGAGGAAGGUCAUUGGAAACUGGAGGACUUGAGUGCAGAAGAGGAGAGUGGAAUUCCAUGCGUAGCGGUGAAAUGCGUAGAUAUAUGGAGGAACACCAGUGGCGAAGGCGACUCUCUGGUCUGUAACUGACGCUGAGGCUCGAAAGCGUGGGGAGCAAACAGGAUUAGAUACCCCUGUAGUC